CCUCGUCAGUUCCGUCUCGUUCCCAACCUCUCCCGGAUUCGAUUCGAUUGACCCGUCCGCUCCAAAUCGAAUCUAAUCAGCAGUUUUGGAGUUGCGGAAGGGAGAAAGAGAGAGGAGAGGGGCAUGGAUCAGGUGCUCAACAAGGUGGGGAGCUACUGGUUCAGCAAAAGGGCCAGCAAGGAAAUCGACUCCAUCGGCGACGACAUCAGCGUAAGUUCCCGCCUCCUUCCUCCUCCUGCCGUGCGCGCCUCGUAGCAACUGGGUUCUUCACCUGCAUUGCUUAGCCUCCCAUAGUAACCGAGGUUCUGGAUCUGGCCUCUUGGUUGUUGGGGAUUCCUCCGUCGCUACGGGAUUUGCGGCGCAGCGGGUAGGGAUGUAGAAUUUGGGUUAUAAUCAGGACUCAGGAGCGGACUGCGGGAGCCAACUUAAUUUUGGAAUGUUGCUCGCUUCCAUGAGUUAAUGGAGGAGCUGGAGCAAUGAACGUCAAGUCAUCGUGACGAUAAAUGCAAAUGGGAGUGGGAUUACACUGGUUUUUAGGAAGUUGGGUUGGUCUUGGUCAUCAGUGUGGUUGCUGCAGAUUAGUUCAACAGAUUCCUUAACAAAGCAUCAGAAUCAGAUUCGCUGAUUCGUAUCUUGAAAUGGCUUUGCUUACUAUGCAUGGUUUAUGUUACAUCUGGCCUUUGAGUUGCCCUUAGCUUGAGUUGAUUAUGCUUUUCUUCUAUUGGUUAAGCAUAACUUGUGUAUGGCUUGUGUGAAUCUGCCUGGAGCAUUUUUUUAAUAACCGAAGCAUUUUGGAAUCAAAUUUCAAUAACACGGGCUGUUUGGAUCCCUUCAUAUUGAAGUAAUUGGAUGCCGAAUCGCGUCCUCACCAGAAUGGUACUGACAUCGUCGUUCGCCUUCUGUUUUGGUCUUCGUAGCUUCAUCCUCGGAUUAAGGCCUAGUAAUAACUCGUUGCGGACACUUGUGCCCUUGCCGUUGUGCCUCGUUCUCCUCUCGAGCCUUCUCAGCCUGUAGUUCUUAGCGCUGCCGCCGUCGCCGCCAUGACUCCGCCACCGCAUCCCACUUUCCACGUGACGAGCUCGGCCUGCCAUCCGGUCCCUGGCGUCGCCUCCUCCGGUCUGUAUUCAUCUGCAUCAGGCUCUGUUCCGGCGAGGUGGUGCUCGGAUUCGUCGUCGCCGCAUCAGCUCUUGAUCCGGUCCAAACUGUCGACAUGAGUAAACUUCAAGCAGUUUGUAACUCAAACAAAUAACAGAACACACACUAGUUCACAAACAGUACAAGCAAACGAGUUUAUGCAGGUUCACAAACAUCCAGUUUCACAAACACCAGUUCACACAUCCAGUUACACAAACACCAGUUCACACAUCCAGUUACACAAACACCAGUUCACACAUCCAGUUUCACAAACACCAGUUCACACAUCCAGUUACACGUACUUGGAAAGGACACUGCCCAGUUACACAUACAUUAGACCACAUCAAAUCGCUCAGUUCACACUAGGAUUGGGGACUGCUGAUGUACUGCCAACUUCUUUUGGAAUCCAUGCUUCAGUGGUGUUCCUUCUAGGCUUCCUUGUUCUAAAAAAAAGACAUGUGAGAGUUGUUUUAAUCAAUUUAAAAUAAAAGAAAUAAUUUGUAGUUCCUUGCCUUUUCUUUGUUCCAUUGAGCACACACUUUGGGCUAUUCUUCCUAUGUCCUAAUUCACCGCAAUUUGGGCACUUGAAUUUGCCUCUAAUCAGUUUCCUUUCCUUCUCUGUUUCACCAACCUUUGGUUUCUUUUUGCUACCACCUUCAAGGAUUCCCCGAAUUCUAUUUUUCCUUUGCCGUCCAACCGCUCUUUUCCCUAAAGGAGCAUGCAUUUCCUCGAACAUGGCUGCCUUAGGCCAAAAAGACUUGUCUCCUAGUUGUUCUAUCAUUCUUUCAUAAGCCUUCCUGAACUUUUGAACUGAAAAGUAUUCGUCCACGAAGUCCUCCAUCCUCACAUCUUUAAAUUGUUGCGCUAUUAUGACCACUAGACCAUGCUGACACGGUUUGCCUGUGUGCUGCCAUUCUAGGCAAGAACAGUAAUGUUGGUCUGCCUUCACUAUGUGUCUUGAAUGGAUGUUGUUAAUGUCUCGAACCUCAGCUGAAUAGUGGUCACCUUUGACAAGUGACAGGUGCCCUAGACCCCGAGUCCUUGCCUUCAAAACAUUUAUCACACUUGGUAGAAUCUUCCCAGGUAGCCUGUCACCUAUCCUCCUACGCCUAAAAAAAAGUUCCAUGACCAUCACCCUAAUCUUGUCUGCAAGUUCACAAACUGGUAGGUCCUUGAAGUCUUUGAUCCAGUUGUUGAAUACCUCAGCGAUAUUGUUUGUGAUGUAGUCACACUUGAUGGCUUGGUUGAAACAGCUUCUGUACCACAGCAACCCAUGCCAGUCUUCGAGCCAUUUGUGCACCUCAGGGAUUGCUGCAACAUUGGCAUAAUGGUGUUCAAACACCUCAGGUCUGUAGGCCCGUGCUGCAGGGUACAUGUGCUCGGAUCCACCAAAAUGUUUGACAUAGUUCUGCAUUAAAUGCCUAAAACAUUCCCUCUUCUCAGCAUUAGGGAACACAUGUUCCACAGCAGCAGUCAACCCUUUGCAAGCGUCGGAGCAAACCGCAAGUAUAGGAAGGUCUCCAAUAGCUUUUCGUAGUUGUGUCAUGAACCAAGUCCAACUAUCUUUGGUUUCAGACUCAAAAAACCCAAAUGCAAGAGGAUACAUCCAAUUGUGCCCAUCAACACUAGUAGCUGAAGGUAAAUGACCAUUCCAUCGACCAUUCAAUGCAGUUGAGUCAACACUGAUAUAUGGUCUGCAUCCCUCACGAAAUCCUUGAAGGCAUGGGCCAAAAGCACAAAAGAACCUGCUAAAAAAUAUCUUGCCAUCCUCAACACGGACAUCAAUAUCAAUAACUGAAUCUGGCAUUUUCUCCAAUACAGCUUCUUUCCAUCUGAGUAAAAGUUGGAAGCUGUCCUCCCAACAUCCAUACAACUCACGCAAAGCUUUCUCUUUCAUAUCCUUAUACAGACUGCCAAUCUUCAUUAUAGGAUGGAGUUGUUACCCCUUUAUGAAUAUCACCGAGGAUGGAGUUCACGGGGUGAUCUCGUUGUAUCACUUGGUGGACUCUUGGGUGUGGCAGUCAUUGACCCUGUAUCUCCUGAUCAUCUUCCUUUACCUUAUUGACUUGAUCUCCCCCUUGAUCAUUGUCCUCCUCUUGAGGUGGCUCAUCCUCUUGAUCUUCAUCAUUAUCUUGAGCCUGUUCCUCAUCUUGUGUUGGUGGAGAUCCUUGCAUGGAAGAUGACGGUUGAUCUUGAGCUUGUGGAGGCUCUUCGGAUUCUUUAGGACACACAUCCCUAAUGGACAUGUUCCUUAGCGCGACGUAUGGAGCUUCUUCAUCAUCUAGCUCAUCAAGAUCAACUUGCUCUACCUGAGAGCCACUAGUCUCAUCAAACACAAUGUCACAAGAAACCUCAACUAAUCCAGUGGAUUUGUUGAAGACCCUAUAUGCCCUUGUGUUUGAGUCAUAACCAAGUAAAAGCCUUCUACAGCCUUAGGAGCAAAUUUAGAUUUUCUACCUCUUUUAACAAGAAUAAAACAUUUGCUACCAAAGACUCUAAAAUUUGAGACAUUGGGCUUUUUACCGGUGAGGAGUUCAUAUGAUGUUUUCUUGAGGAUUCGGUGAAGGUAGAGCCGGUUGAUGGAGUAGCAGGCGGUGUUAAUCGCCUCAGCCCAAAACCGGUCCAGUGUCUUGUACUCAUCAAGCAUAGUCCUUGCCAUGUCUAGUAGAGUUCUAUUCUUCCUCUCCACUACACCAUUUUGUUGAGGUGUGUAGGGAGAAGAGAACUCAUGCUUGAUGCCCUCCUCCUCAAGAAAGCCUUCAAUUUGAAAGUUCUUGAACUCCGUCCCGUUGUCGCUUCUAAUAUUUUUGAUUCUCAAUCCGAACUCAUUUUAAGCCCAUCUCAAGAAUUCUUUUAAGGUCUCUUGGGUUUGAGAUUUUUCCUGCAAAAAGAACACCCAAGUGAAGCGAGAAUAAUCAUCCACAAUUACUAGACAGUACUUACUCCCGCCGAUGCUUAUGUAAGCAAUUGGGCCGAAUAGAUCCAUGUGGAGUAGUUCCAGUGGCCUGUCCGUUGUCAUUAUGUUCUUAUGUGGAUGGUGUGUACCAACUUGCUUCCCUGCUUGACUUGCGCUACAAACCCUGUCUUUCUCAAAAUGAACAUUUGUUAGUCCCAAAAUGUGUUCUCCCUUUAGAAGCUUGUGAAGAUUCUUCAUCCCAAUAUGGGCUAGUCGGCGAUGCCAGAGCCAACCCAUAUUAGUCUUAGCAAUUAAGCAAGUAUCAAGUUCAGCUCUAUUGAAAUCAACUAAGUAUAGCUUACCCUCUAAUACUCCCUUAAAUGCUACUGAAUCAUCACUUCUUCUAAAGACAGUAACACCUAUAUCCGUAAAAAGACAGUUGUAACCCAUUUUGCAUAAUUGAGAAACAGAAAGGAAAUUGUAAUCUAAAGAAUCUACAAGAAAAACAUUGGAAAUGGAAUGGUCAGGUGAUAUAGCAAUUUUACCGAGUCCUUUGACCAAACCUUGAUUUCCAUCCCCGAAUGUGAUAGCUCUUUGGGGAUCAUCAUUUUUCUCGUAGGAGGAGAACAUCCUUUUCUCCCCUGUCAUGUGGUUUGUGCACCCGCUAUCAAUGAUCCAACUUGAGCCCCCGGAUGCAUAAACCUACAAAACAAAUUUAGGCCUUGUUCUUAGGUACCCAAACGGUCUUGGGUCCUUUUACAUUAGAAACAAGCACCUUGGGUACCCAAACACAAGUCUUGGAGCCCUUGUGUUUUCCCCCCAACAUAUUUGGCAACUACUUUGCCUGAUUUGUUAGUGAGCACAUAGGAAGCAUCAAAAGUCUUAAAUGAAACAUGUGGAUCAUUUGAUGCAAUAGGAGUUUUCUUUUUAGGCAUUUUAACAUGGGUAGAAUGCCUAGAGCUAGAAGCCUCACUCUUAUACAUAAAAGCAUGAUGGGAAACAGAGUGAGUCUUCUUAGCAUGAAUUCUCCUAAUCUUGUGCUCGGGAUAACCAGCAGGAUAUAAAACAUAGCCCUCGUUAUCCUGAGCCAUGGAAGCCUUACCCUUAACAAAAUUGGACAAUUUCUUGGGGCAUUAAGCUUGACAUUGUCUCCCUGUUGGAAGCCAAUGCCAUCCUUAAUGUCAGGGUGUCUCCCAUUAUAAAGCAUGCUUCUAGCAAAUUUAAAAUUUUCAUUCUCUAUCUCAUGCUCAUUAAUUUUGCUAGUUAGUUGUGCUAUGUGAUCAUUUUGUUGUUUAAUUAAAGCUAGGUGAUCAUGGAUAGCAUCAACAUUAAUGCCUCUACAUCUUAUGCAAAUAGAAACAUGAUCGACAGUGGAUGUAGAGGGUUUGCAAGCAUUUAAUUCAUCAAUCUUAGCAUGUAACAUGUCAUUCUCAUCUCUAAGAUUGGAAAUAGAAGUAUUGCAAACAUUCAAUUCCUUAGCUUUUGAAAUUAAUCUAGCAUUUUCAAUUUUAAGGCUAGAAAUUGAUUCAUUCAAUUUAUCAAUUUUAGCAAUUAAACUAGCAUUAUCAUUUUUAAGAUUGACAGUUGAAUCAUGACAAACAUUUGAUUUUUCAACCUUAGCAAAUAAAUCACCAUUCUCAUUCCUAAGGUUGGAAAUGGUGUCAUGGCAAAUGCUAAGCUCCUUAGUCAAAUUUUCAUUCUUUUCUACUUCCUGAGCAUAAGCAUUCUUUACCUUAACAUGCUUUUUAUUUUCCUUAAUAAGGAACUCCUCUUGGCUAUCCAAGAGUUCAUCCUUCUCAUGAAUAGCACUUAUCAAUUCAUUUAAUUUUUCUCUUUGUUGCAUGUUAAGGUUGGCAAAAAGAGCAAGCAAAUUAUCUUCAUCAUCACUAGAGCUACCCUCAUCACUAGAUGUUGUAUAUUUAGUGGAGGCUCUAGAUUUUACCUUCUUCUUUUUGCCGUCCUUUGCCAUGAGGCACUUGUGGCCGACGUUGAGAAAGAGGAGGCCUUUGGUGACGGCGAUGUUGGCGGCGUCCUCGUCCGAGGAGGAGUCGCUGGUGCUUUCAUCGGAAUCCCAUUCCCGACACACGCGGGCAUCGCCGCCCUUCUUGUAAUAUCUCUUCUUCUCCUUAUUCUUCCCUCUCUUGUCGUCGACCCUGUCAUUGUCACUAGAAAUAGGACAUUUUGCUAUAAAGUGACCGGGCUUACCACACUUGUAGCAAACCUUCUUGGAGCGGGGUUUGUAAUCCUUCCCCCUCCUUUGUUUGAGGAUUUGGCGGAAGCUCUUGAUGAUGAGCGUCAUUUCUUCGUUGUCGAGCUUGGAGGCGUCGAUGGGGAGCCUACUUGAUGUAGACUCUUCUUUCUUUUCUUCCGACGAUUUGAAUUCGACGGGUUGCACCUCAGGUGUGGAGGUGCCGCCUUGCUCGAUGAUUUGUUUGGAGCCUUUGAUCAUCAACUCAAAGCUCACGAACUUUCCUAUCACUUCCUUGGGAGACAUUAGUUUAUAUCUAGGAUCACCACGAAUUAAUUGAACUUGUGUAGAAUUACGAAAAACAAGUGAUCUUAGAAUAACCUUGACCAUUUCAUGGUCAUCCCAUUUGGUGCUCCCGAGGUUGCGCACUUGGUUGACCAAGGUCUUGAGCCGAUUGUACAUGGCUUGUGGCUCCUCUCCUUGGUUGAGGAUGAAUCGACCGAGCUCCCCCUCGAUCGUCUCCCGCUUGGUGAUCUUGGUCACCUCAUCCCCUUCAUGCGCGGUCUUUAGCACAUCCCAAAUCUCCUUGGCACUUUUUAGCCCUUGCACUUUAUUAUACUCCUCUCGACAUAGAGAGGCGAGGAGUACAGUAGUGGCUUGGGAAUCAAAGUGUAGGAUUUGGGCGACCUCGUCCGAGUCGUAGCCUUCAUCCCCCACGGAUGGUACCUACGCUCCAAAUUCAACAAUGUCCCAAAUGCUAGCGUGGAGUGAGGUUAGAUGGUGCCUCAUUUUAUCACUCCACAUACAAUAAUCUUCACCGUAAAAAAUCGGUGGUUUGCCUAAUGGGAUGGAAAGUAAAGGAGUGCGUUUGGAAAUGCAGGGAUAGCGUAAGGGGAUCUUAUAAAACUUCUUGUACUCAUGGCACUUAGAAGUGACGAAUGGAGCGUCGGAGUCGGAGGUUGAUGGUGACGAAGAAUUGGUCUCGUAGUAGACCACUUUCUUCAUUUUCUUCUUUUUAUCGCCACUCCGGUGCGACUUGACGCGAGGAGGUGAUUCCUCCCUUCGUUUGUCGCCGGACUCCCACGAUGGAGCCUUCCCAUGACUUGUGGUCGUUUCCAUCUCCCUCUUGGCGAAUCCUCCCAACAUCACUUCGAGUUGUUAGACUCUAAUGAAGUACUGGGCUCUGAUACCAAUUGAAAGUCACCUAGAGGGGGGGGGGGGUGAAUAGGCGGAAACUGAAAUUUACAAACUUUAAGCACAACAACAAGCCGAGGUUAGCGUUAGAAAAUAAAUCGAGUCCGAAAGAGAUGGCGAAAACAAAUCACAAGAAAUAAAGCGAGUGACACGGUGAUUUGUUUUACCGAGGUUCAAACCUACUCCCCGUUGAGGUGGUCACAAAGACCGGGUCUCUUUCAACCCUUUCCCUCUCUCAAAUGGUCACUUAGACCGAGUGAGUUUCCUUCCUGGAUUUCCCAGGUCACUUAGACCCCGCAAGGACCACCACACAAUUGGUGUCUCUUGCUUUGCUUACAAGGCUUUGAGAGUAAGAAUGAGAGAAAGAAGAAAGCCAACCAAGCAACAAGAGCAACAAAAGAACACAAGUCAAUCUUCUCACAAGUCCUAAAAACUAGAGUUGAAUUGUGGACUUUGAUUUGAUCGGAGGCUUUGAUUUGUGUCUUUGAGUGUUGUGUAUUGCUCUUGUAUUGAAUGAGGAGUAGUGAAUGCUUGGAUGCCUUGAAUGGUGGUGGUUGGGGGGUAGUUAUAGCCCCAACCACCAAAACAGCCGUUGGGGAGGGCUGCUGUCGAUGGGCGCACCGGACAGUCCGGUGAGCCAGCCACGUCACCCAACCGUUAGGGUUCUGACGGUUUCGACCAUUGGAGCUCUGUCAGCUUGGGCACCGGAUAGUUUGGUGCCGCACUGGACAGGCACUAUUCACUGUCCGGUGCGCCUUCUGGCGCAUGCUCUGACUCUACGCGAACUGUCUGCGCACUGUUCAGUUGUCAGUCGACCGUUGAAGUCGACCGUUGCGCUGGCGGCCGUUGCUCCGCUGGCACACCGGACAGUCCGGUGACCCACCGGACAUUCCGGUAAAUUAUAGCGGAGCGUGGCCUUAGAAACCCGAAGGUGAAGAGUUUGAAGUCGAUCCACCCUGGUGCACCGGACACUGUCCAGUGCGCCAGACUAGGGUUUACUUCGGUUUCUUUUGCUCCUUUCUUUUGAACCCUAAAUUAGAUCUUUUUAUUGGUUUGUGUUGAACCUUUGGCACCUGUAGAACAUGUAAUCUAGAGCAAACUAGUUAGUCCAAUUAUUUGUGUUGGGCAUUUCAACCACCAAAAUCAUUUAGGAAAAAGGUUUGACCAUUUUUCCCUUUCAAUAGCCAUUUGAGAUCUUUGAGACAAAGACAGAUGCAUGUGGUUCAAUAACUUAGGAGGUUGUGUGACAACUCAAUUGGUCUGACUUUGCGUGUGUCGCUGUGGCACCUCGCGAGGUUUAUGGCGCAUAGACAGCACUGACUGACGGCGUUUGUGGGGACCGACCGUCUCUUCUAGAACAUUUGAAACUGAUGUGUUGACUACAUGACAGAAAGGAGCUGCUCAAGCCUCAAAAGUGGUGUCCCGGCCCAAAAGGAUUCAUGGGCUUCAUAGUGGAGUGACACGAUAGCUUGCAAGUUGCAACACAAUUCAUAUGGUCCGUUACAGCCCAGACCUGCGACAGGCUAACAUUUCCCCCGGAAGGCUGUAUAAGAGUGUCGGCGUUUCGACCCCGGGGGGUCCCUGGACCGACGAGUAAAUUGUCGCUGCGUGUCCCAGCCUAGAUGGGUCGGUGCGAGAUGGAACACAAGGGGGAAAAAGGGAACCACAGCUCAUGUUAUCCUGCGCCCAGGGCGGAUGCGCUUGCAGUAGGGGGUUACAAGCGUUCGCGAGAGAGGGGGAGAGCCUGCUCGUCAGCCCGUCCUCCCGCGCGGCCACCUCCUCGUACGAGGGCCCUGGACCUUCCUUUUAUAGAUGUAAGGAGAGGAUCCAGGUGUACAAUGGGGGGUGUAGCAAUAUGCUAACGUGUCCAGCAGAGAGGAGCCAGAGCCCUAUGUACAUGCUGACGUGGCUGUCGGAGAGGUGCUAGUGCCCUGUGCAUGUGACGUCGUGGCCGUCGGAGGAGCGUUUGAGCCCUGUAGAAGCACAGCUGUCGGGGCUGACGGGACCUUGCUGACGUCUCCUUGCUUCCGUAGGGGGCUGAGAACCGCCGUCGUCACGGGAGCACGCGAGGUGUCAUCAUUACUUGUUUACCGGGGCGAGCCACAUGGGACGCCGGUCUUGUUCCCCGUAGCCUGAGCUAGCUAGGGGUAGGGUAAUGAUGUACCCCUGUGUGGCGUGGUCAGCCCGAGCCCAAGGUCGGGCGAGGCGGUGACUCCUCCGAGGUCGAGGCUGAGCCCUAGGGUCGGGCGAGGCGGGGACGGUCUUCCGAGGUCGAGGUUGAGGCCGAGCCCUAGGGUCGGGCGAGGCGGAGACCGUCUUCCGAGGUCGGGGUUGAGGCCGAGCCCUGGGGUCGGGCGAGGCGGAGACCACCUUCCGAGGUCGAGGUUGUGGCCGAGCCCUGGGGUCGGGCGAGGCGGAGACCAUCUUCCGAGGCCGAGGCGGGGGCCGAGCCCUGGGGUCGGGCGAGGCGGAGACCACUUUCCGAGGUCGAGGUUGAGGCCGAGCCCUGGGGUCGGGCAAGGCGGAUCUUCCUGUUGCGCCUGAGGCCAGACUUAGCUGUUGUCAGCCUCACCCUGGCGAGUGGCACAGCAGUCGGAGCGGGGCAAGCGGCGCUGUUUUCCUGUCAGGUCAGUCAGUGAAGGGGCGAAGUGACUGCGGUCGCUUCGGUCCUGUCGAUUGAGGAGCGCACGUCAGGAUAAGGUGUCAGGCGGUCCUUGCAUUGAAUGCUCCUGCGAUACGGUCGGUUGGCGAGGCGAUCUGGCCAAGGUUGCUUCACUGCGAAGCCUGCCCGAGCUGGGCCUCGGGCGAGUCGAGGGUGUGCCCAUUGCUUGAGGAGGCCCUCGGGCGAGGCGUGAAUCCGCCUAGGUCUACUGUUCCUGCCCGAGGCUGGGCUCGGGCGAGGCGAGAUCGUGUCCCUUGAGUGGACGGAGCCUUGACCUGAAUUGCGCCCAUCAGGCCUCUGCAGCUUGUGCUGAUGGUGAUUACCAGCCGAGUUUAGGAGUCUUGGGGGUACCCCCAAUUAUGGUCCCCGACAAAGAGCAUCUCCAAGAGUGCCCUAAACAGGUGCCUUAUAUUGAAUAUAGGACAAUAUUCGGAAAAAAUGGAGUCCAACAGUGUCUCAUUUUAAUUAAUUUUAUAAAAAAAUAAUAGGGCACAAUUCCUAGUGUCCCAGAUAUGAGGCCUUGAAACAGACUGUCCUUAAAUGGAUGUCAACCGAUUGAAGUUUCAUCUAUUCCUAGUGUCCCAGCCAUAAACAAAUCAGCGCUGCCAUCGUGACCUUCCCAUCCCCACCAGUGUUGUCGCCGCCCUGCCCCUCCCCCAACGCUGACUCCCUGCCUUGCAACCGGCACCGCCCCGCCCUGCCCCGCGAGUUCGCCGUCGCAGUAGCCGACUCCCUGCCCUGCCACCGACAUCGCCCCGCCAUGCCCGCGAGUUCGCCGUCGCAGUGGCUGACUCCCUGCCCUACCACCGGCUUCGCCCCGCCCUGCCCGCGAGUUCGCCGUCACAGUGGCCGACUUCCUGCCCUGCCACCGGCACCGCCCCACCCUACCCCGCAAGUUCGUCGUCGCAGUGGCCGACUCCCUGCCCUGCCACCGGCACCACCUCGCCCUGCCCGCGAGUUCGCCAUCGCAGUCGCCUGCAGAGCGCCGCGAGUUCCCUGUCUUUGCCUGCCCAGCGUCGCUGCACCUCCUCGUCGCCCCGUGAGUUCACCGUCGCAGUUGCAUCUUCUCCAUGCCUCCUCGGAUUCUAGCAUGAUGGACCGAAGGCCAGCGCAAAAAUCCCGUCGGUCUGCAUUGAAUGCCGCCAUAGGUACGAUUUCUGGAGGCUGGCAUCCAUCGUCACAAGAUAAUCGUCGCAGCCCCACGAACGACAGUCAUGCAACACAUGCAAAACCUGAAGCUUCGUCGGUAGCUGCAUCUGUGCAAAACCCUCUAGACAACAGCAUUGAUGCCUCGUGGAUGCUUCCUGAUUACAAGUGCGUAUUUUUACUUUAUCUGUUAAACGAUUACAUACAAGCAAAUUGAUUUUUUUAAAUAAUGUAGCAGAUAAUCAUAAAGUAGUACAAUAGCAUACUACCCUCCCAAGAUAACUGAUGAAAAUGGUUAUAUCUUAAAUUUGUGCAGCAUACUACCCUCCCAAGAUAACUACUAUAGGAAUCUGAUGAACCAAGAUGAUACAGAUAAUUUAGGCUCGGAGGAUUACGUGCAAGUUGAUCCUCUUGUAGCUAAUAUGAAUUCCCAGACAAAACCAAAGGGCCUCUCAAAAAAUUUCACUGAUGAUGAGGACAUUCUACUGUUGUCAGCGUAUCUCAAUGUUAGCAAAGAUCCUAUUGCUGGAAGGGACCAAAAAGAUGGCAGAUUUUGGGAAAGAAUUGAAAAGUAUUAUCAUGUCAAUUUAACAUUUGAAUCGCUCUUCAUUGCAUCAUCGAUGGGGUAUAAUCCAAAAGAAAGUAAGUCUUUCCAAAGUUACUAUGAAGCCAUACAAAGGAAGAAUGAAAGUGGAAAGACAAUGAAUGACAAGGUACACUUUUAUACUCUUAUGUUAUGCGUUGCUUUUGUUCACAUAGCAUAAAAUGGUUGUGUGGUUGACAUAUGCAUUUUAUUGUAGAUUGCUGAUGCUAAAGCUAUGUUCCAAACCUUAAGAAAAAAGGCUUUUACUUUGUUUCAUGCUUGGAAUAUUCUUAGACACGAGCCAAAGUGGUCAUCAAUAAAGGACUCCACAAUGGCUACCAAGAAGCUAGAUCCUCACAACGGUAAUGAAGAUGAUGGACAUGACACCCCUAGACCACCAGGAAGGAAAGCCGAGAAAGAUAAAUUGCGAGCACGAAAGCGAGAGGACAAUGACAAUGAUGCAUUGAUGGAAGAACUAAAAAAAUUAGAGAGUCAAGAUUGGAGAUAGAAAAUGAUCGUAAUGCACGAGAAGACAAGUUAUUAGAGCCGGAGAGUAGUAAACUUGAUCUUGAGCGUGAACAACGUGACGACAAGGUGAUGAGAACCGACACAAGUACAAUGGAUGAUGAGUCGAAACAAUAUUUUAAGUUAGUGAAAGAGGAAAUUUUGGCGCGAUGUUUUGGGAGAAAGCAAGAUUGAGGGGUCAUGUUAUUAGAGUUGCUUUUAGUCAUACUGAACAGACUUGUAUUUUUUCUGUCUCUUCAAUAUAGUAUUUUUCCUGAAACGACUACAAGAUCUGUUUCCUAUAUAGUAUUUUUUUCGCUGCCAUUGUUUCCAAUUCUUAUCCAUUCACUGAUAUCUUCAACAUAGUGCACACAUGCGUACAAUAUAGAGAAAAUGUUAUGAACAAAAAUUGAAAUGAACAUGUUCUAAACACAACAUAAAAAAAUUAUUGUUCUCGUUUAUUUGACCUGUACGCUCCCAUAGAUGAUCAACUAAGUCUGACUGGAGUUGUUGGUGAAGGUGAGAAUCUUUGAUGCCUAGGCACAUCUGACCAAAUGAUGCCUAGGCACCACAAACUAUGGCAAAGCGAGCCUGCAACACUCCAAAUGCACGUUCAACAUCUUUCCUUUGUAACUCUUGGGCUUUAGUAAAAUUUUGGUCCUUUACAUUUGCCGGAACCUUCUUACUUUUCACAAAUGUUGACCAAGAAGGAUAAAUCCCAUCAGCUAGGUAGUACCCCAUAUCAUAGUCGUGCCCAUUGAUUUUAUACUUAACUUCUGGGGCUUCACCGGUAGCAAGUCGGUCAAAAAGAGGAGAUCUAUGUAAAACAUUAAUAUCAUUUUUUCACCCUGGUAGACCAAAAAAGGCAUGCCAUAUCCAUAAAUCGGAAGACGCAACUGCUUCUAAUAUAAUUGUUGGUUCUUUUACAUGGCCGUAGUACAUACCCUGAUAAGCUGUAGAACAAUUCUUCCACUUCCAAUGCAUACAAUCAAUGCUACCAAGCAUACCAGGAAAUCCACAUUGUUCAGCAAUAUUAAGCAGCCUAGCUGUGUCAUUAUUAUUUGGGCCCUCAGGUAUUUUUUGCCGAAAACCUCACAAAUAGCUUUGACAAAUUUCCGCAGACUCUUAAUAGCAGUGCUCUCAUCAAUCCUUAUAUACUCGUCAACAUAAUCUGCUGGAACAUCGUACGCUAGCUGCCUGAAUGCUGUUGUUACCUUCUGUAAACAAGAACACCAUCGGACAUCAGCAACAUUUUGUUUUUGAACAAAAUACUCGUCAUGCUCCUCAACGGUGUUAGCUAUCCUUUUGAAGAGGCGGUAACUCAUGCGAAAGCGACGCCGAAAAUACUUCUCAGGAUAUGUCGGAUUCUCGUCAAAAUAAUCAUGAUAUAAUUUUAUAGCGCCUUCUUCUCUACUUCGAUCAUAAACUUUUUAUCCAGGAAUCGAACCUCCAUGCCUUUUACGUUGUCGACGCAUCCUCUGUCGAUAUUCAACAAUCUUAAUAGCCAACAAGUCGUCGAGUUCAUCAUCUAGAUCGUCGUUCUCGCGAUGAAUGAUUCUUCUCAACAUUCCCAUCAUAUUUUCUGUAAUAUGUCAUUGAAUAAGAAGAAAAUGAUUGUGCGUCAAAAUGGUUACGUCGAAAUCUAUUAAAAAAUCAUCAUGGUCAUCACAUCUAGGCGGUCAACAGUAAUGAAUAAACAAUGAUAGAGGCGACGAGUGAUUGAAUAAUCAUCCUGUACCUUUACUGAUGUAGAUCGUGCAGAUACAUGUGCUUGAUCUGACGCCACAAGCUAGGUAGCCGAUCGGAGGAUGGAAGAUGCAUGCAGCCAAUUGCCAACGAGUUGUGAGCAUGCAGAUACAUGCAGCCAAAAGCAAAUGCACGCAUGGAGAUAUGAGCACAACGGUGGUAGGGAGAAGGCGGGAGAAACGAAAACAAAGCAAAAGAGAGCACACCGAAAAAAUAUCGUGGGGACGGUAACAACCUAAGCGCAACUGUUGGAGCUACGCAAUAUCGUGAGCCCUAAAUCAGUUUAAAUAAAGCCCGUUUUUAAUUUAUAGGUCACUGUUGGGAUCCUUCGUCUUCCGAAGGUCCUCAAAAACAUGACUAACAAUGUUUCCCAAAGCAUAAUAUAUGUGCAGGAAUCUUCAGACAUGGGAUGAAGUUGUACACAAUAUGGAAAGCAGGGUCAGAACGAAGGUUGAACUAGUGCUGAAGCUGUGCGCAAGGAAGCUUUGGCUCAAUAGCAGAAAAAGGAACCGACUUAAGGAGGAAAAGACUAUUUAGUCCUCGAUAAAUUGUUCUUAAGUUAAUACUAGAUAUGAAGGACAUGAAUGUAAUUUUGCACAGGCUGCGUCAUGUGCCUAUAAAUAGAUGAACAGUACCCCCGUAUUGUUCGCGCUGACCUGUACUCACUCGUGCGAUGCUUGUAUUCAAACCUUCUAUCGAGCCGAAGGUACAAAUGUAGUUCAAUAUUGUUCUUAUUCUUCC
rnacentral:lncRNA from 1 species